AAAAUGUUAAAAUUGCACCUCAAAGGAUAGUGGAUGAAGAUUUCAAUUAAUUACGGAAGUAAAAAAGAAAGCAAAGGACAUCUUGUGGAUGAGCAAGGAACUGCAGUGCAUUUUGAAUGAAUCGGCUGCUGCUGUGAGAAAAGCUACAGGAAAUGUCAGUAAACUUCGACCAUCUCAUGGAUUGCUGACUAUCUCACAAAGAGGGUGCAGUAUGCUGAACAGAGCUCUGUGUGAUUUGGUUGAUGUGCAGUACAGUAGCUCCACAGGAAUCUGUGCUCUCUCCAUUCCCGUUCUCCUGGUACACCUCAGACUUCCCUUAUACCUCCUGGUCAUGCUACCUACAGUAAUACUCUGAUGAUUCUGCGGUGGUUGGAUGUAUUAGUGAUGGAGAGGAGGACUAAACUGUUUGUGGGGUGGUCUGUGAGGAAUCAUCUGUAAAGCAGUGACACCACCUGGAUGGUGAUGGACUUCAGAAGGAAGAGGUUGGCUGAACAAUCCAUUCCCCUCUCUGUUUAUCGUUUACGGGACAGGAUCUGGAUAUGGUGGAGGAGUACAACUGGAAGACCAGCACAGGCUCUGCUUCCUGCAAAAGCUGAGCUCCUUCAAUGUGCAACAGAGUGAUGGAGGUUUUCUAUCACUCAGCAUCCUUUGCUGUGGUCUGCUCAGGGAGCAGCAUCAAAGCUGGUGACACCAACAGUCUGAAUAAACUGAUUAGGAAGGCUGGCCCUCUGACUGGCUGCAAACUGGACACUUUUAUAGCUGUGAUGAAGACGAGGCAUCUGAAAAACCAUCAUCCAUCAUGGAUAAUCCUGAGAAACCUCUGCAUGACUUACUGGACAGGCAGCAGAGCUCCUUCUCUAACAGACUGAUUCAGCUCUGCUGUCACAAAGAAACACACGGGAAAUCUUUCAUACCGCACAUUAUCAUCCUCCAUAACACAAUAUAUCUGUCUGACAAAGAACCAUCUGCCAGAUUUUUUUCAACAGGUUAUUUGGUAAAUUCAAAAGAAUUUCCCAAAUAUGCCUCCUCUCACAAGCCUCCUCUCCAUCACAACUAUAAAAGUGUCCAAUUCAAAAGAUAUGGGAUAAACAAAGCAUUUCUCAUCUCAUCAUCAGUGGAAUAGUGAAAAUUUGGAAUACUCAAAAAAUGCUCAGACAGGCAAACGCUGUAGGCUUUGUUAGGAGGGAAAAUGGUUACUUACUGACUGAAAUGUUCAGUCCGAGUGUAUUUCCUGUACUCUUAGCAGCUGUCUCGGCCAAUGCGUGCAACAACUUGGAAGCCAAACUGAAAGGGACAAAUAAAGACUGCGGUGUCACA